UGGGGAAUAUUGCACAAUGGGCGAAAGCCUGAUGCAGCAACGCCGCGUGAGUGAUGAAGGCCUUCGGGUUGUAAAGCUCUGUCUUUUGGGACGAUAAUGACGGUACCAAAGGAGGAAGCCACGGCUAACUACGUGCCAGCAGCCGCGGUAAUACGUAGGUGGCAAGCGUUGUCCGGAUUUACUGGGCGUAAAGGAUGCGUAGGCGGAUUUUUAAGUGAGAUGUGAAAACCCUAAGCUUAACUUGGGGACUGCAUUUCAUACUGGAAAUCUAGAGUGCGGGAGAGGAGAAUGGAAUUCCUAGUGUAGCGGUGAAAUGCGUAGAGAUUAGGAAGAACACCAGUGGCGAAGGCGAUUCUCUGGACCGUAACUGACGCUGAGGCAUGAAAGCGUGGGUAGCAAACAGGAUUAGAUACCCUGGUAGUCCACGCCGUAAACGAUGAGUACUAGGUGUAGGAGGUAUCGACCCCUUCUGUGCCGCAGUUAAACACAAUAAGUACUCCGCCUGGGAAGUACGAUCGCAAGAUUAAAACUCAAAGGAAUUGACGGGGUCAUAGCUGUUUCCU
rnacentral:rRNA from 1 species